rnacentral:rRNA from 1 species
AUGCUCAACAAGCGGCCGAGGAGCAUGGUGAUGCGCCGGAAGGUCAGCUUGGCGUCCAUGCCGUCGGUGCAGAGGCGGGUGCGCCAGGUGAGCGGCGACAACAAGCAGGCACGCACGAGGCCGAUCUUUUUUGUGUCGCCUUGCGCCGAGGAGAUGGGUGCCGGAGGCGGCGGCCACCACUCUCUGAAGAGGGACGCAUUUACCGGGCUGUGGAUGACGGCGGCGUUCCUGGCGGCCUGCGGCAUCUGCGCCAAACCCCUCGCUGGCAAGGAUGCUUAUAUCUACAGGAGUGAGUUUGCAUUCUGCACCAUGGAGUGCAGGGAGAAGUACAUUGAGAAAGACAUAAAGAUGGAAAAUAAGCGCCGCCUCAUAUCCAUCAGGAAGGCCCCGUCAGACCAGUCCGGCAGCGGCGGGGGCUCGUGCAGCGGGCCAGGCAAACCCAUUUAG